GUCACGACCGCGGCCAAAAAUGGUAAAAACCAAGUACAUAAGAGCACAAAUUUAUUGAUGAGAAUUGAUAGAAAACAUUCCAGUUAGGAAUAAUAUGAAUUUUGGUAGUGAUACGUCAAGUAGUUUUGCCUGUACGAGGGUUCAAAUCUGAUAGUUUUUGGCAAUCGGCAUUUUUCUAUUUUUUUCGGAAAAUUGACACUUUUUUCAUAUGUUCAAAAAUUUGAAUAUUAAAAGUAACGGUUAUAAAAAAAGUGUUUAUUUUAGUUACUUGGGAUGUCAAAAACUUGGCUUCACCUUUGUUUGGGUGUAAAUAGUGAUCAUAUGGUGUUUACAGUUACAAACACCUGUUGUACUUAGUUCAUCUAUUUUGUAAAGCAAAUCUUGAAAUUAGUGGAGUAGAAAAAAAAGGUUAAAAAAGUUUAGUCUACAUUUUUGUUGAUUUUAGUUGUGAAAAUGACCACCUCUUUAAAAAACUGUGACAUAUUUUUGGAAUGGUUAGAAGUAAAGGAUCAAAGUAUGUCAUAUGUUCUGGCAAAACUUAAAGAAUUUAUUGAGGAUCGAAUUGGAAGGAAAAUGACGGGCGAAGAACACAUAAAGGUUAAAAAUAUUUGCUACAAAUUGUCUUCUACGUGGAAAAAAUACUAUCGUAAGAGGGAUAAAGUAGAAAUGGUCUUAAAAGAUUGGUUUCUUAUGGAUACGUUUAAAUUUGAUUCGGAACCUGAUAAGUCUACAUCAAGAGGUCGACCACGCAUUAACUUUGAGGAAAGUUCAUGUAGAACAAAAAGGCGACGUGUAGGUGAACUUGUUGCAUCUACUUCGGCGGACAUCAUAACAACAGCUGCAAAAAGAUUUUCGAAUGUAAAGGAAACGGACAAAAAUUUCGAAACGAAGACGCAACAGAUGAAUUUAUGUUCGUUUCUUCAUUUGUGCCCUUGCGUAUUUUAGAUGAUACAAACGAAAAUGUCUUGUGGCAGAACGACAGGCACUCAUCUUCAAGGCUAUGUAGACCUAUUAAAAUACUUUUUACAAAGGAAAAUUCACAGACUAUAAAUGA